AGAAAGCUGUAGGGAGGAUUCUGAGCUUGCUUCUUCUAGGAACUUUGCUCCCCUUCGGAUACUGAAAGCCUCUAUCCGGCCACCUCAGAUCCUUCUCUUCUCCAGGAUGAAUAGCCCCAGCUCUCAGCCUGUCCUCAUAGGAGAGGUGUUGGAUCAUUUUUGUGCCCUUCCCUGGAUGCUCUCUAGCAGGUCUACAUCUGUAGUACUGAGGACUCCACAUCUGGAUCCAGCACUCCAGGUGCGGCAUCAUCAGUGCAGUAAGACUUUUACAGUAAGACACAUUGUUCAGACCCGUAAUUACUGCUGCUACUCCUUUCUUGAGUUUCGUAUCAUUACUGAG
rnacentral:lncRNA from 1 species